UGCCACAGUGUUUCCCAUCAUGAUGACAAUGGACUAAAUCUCUGAAACUGUAAGCCACCCAAAAUAAAUGUUUUCCUUUAUAAAAGCUGCUGUGGUCACGGUGUCUCUUCACAGCAAUUGAAGUCCUAAGACAAGCAGUGUGCACUUUUAACCUCUGAGUCAUGCUUCCAGUCUCAACCCCCGCUCCCUUUAAGGAUGGCAUUUAGAUCUUUCGAAUUUAAGAAUUUAUUUGGCAUAUGUAAUAGUUUUUUAUUUUUAUUUUUCUCUGAGCCUAAUUUUCUGGGCAAUCAGACUAUUAACCAACUUUCCUAAAAAAAGCCAGAAACAAUUUCAAAGAGAGAAGAAAGUGCACAGCGUAUUGAUGUUAAUGGUCCAGGAAAUGCUACACAGUUUGGGAGGAGGCUAAGGACAAAAAUCUUACAAUUAGCAAUAAAACAGGUUGUUCAAAAAAUAAUUACACUUUAUAGAAAUUGAUACAACCACGCAGCAAUCUAGACUUGCAAAUUUUCAUCACAUAUAUUUUUAAACUCAGAGUUAUCUUUAGGGGCCUGCUCUAGGGAAAACAUUCUCUCUGUCUCUUCGGCCAUUCGUCUAGAGGUGGCACCAUGUGAAAUCCCUCCCAUAUGCACUGGAGUAUCCACUGGUGAUGACAAUAUUCAGGUCUUGUUUAGGCAAUCAUAUUAUUGAAGUUUCACGGAUGCAGCUUCCCUGUCAUGUCCAGGUGACACUAUCUUGCCGCAGACAUCCUGGACCGCUGGAUCUUACAAUCUUCCACUCUUUCUUCAUGAUGUUCCCUGAACCUCAAGCACCUAUCUUGUGUUGUAGAAAAUCAGCCUGGCGCUGGGCACCCCACAGUCACUUGUUCUCUGGGUUUUGACCAGUUAUGGGCCUCUGGAAUACUCUCCAUCUGUUGCAACAAGAAGCUUCUUUGGUGGGGGUAGGGGACAGGGGGCCGGUGAGAGCUUCCCUUAUUGUUGGCAAUAGGUUGAGUAUUGAGCACACAGUCAGGAAUUACACUGGCUCAGGAAAAUAAUGGUAGUAGGGUUCUCCCCUAGGAUCUGUGACCUGCCUGGCCACAGGCAGUUGGCUAGGUACCAGGCAUGAAUGACCUCUUAUUCCCUGCUAGGCUAAACAGUGCCAAGUGGUCAGACCUUAACAUGCACAUUUGAGCAACACUAAAUGGAUUCAAUAGGUUAUGUAUGUUUAUGAGUAUGAAUGUAACAAUAAUAAUUAUAGAAAAUAUGUCAUGAACUUGAGGGGGAGGACACAGGAGCAGUUGGAGGGAGAAGAGGAAAUUUUGUAAAUAUGAUCCUUAUGUUCAAAAUUCCUCCCAAAUGGAAAAAAAAGUAAAUAUUUUUUUCUUAAUCUUUUAGGAGUGGAAGAGAUAGAUCAAUGGUUAAGAGCACUUGUUGCUCUUGCAGAGAACAGAUCUUUGAUUCCAAGCACCCACGUCAGGUGGCUAAUAACCAUCUACAACACUAUUUCCAAGGGACCUGAUGACCCUCUUUGGGCCCACUCAGGCACCUGCAAGCAUGCGAUGCACACACACAAAAUAUAAAGUUAGUUAAUAAUUAAUUAAUCUUCAGUGUUUUGUUGUUUUGUUGUUGUUGUUGUUGUUGUUUGAGACAGGGUGUCUCUGUAGCUUUGAAGCCUAUCCUGGCACUCAUUCUGUAGACCAGAUUUUGACUUCGAACUCACAGAGAUCUGCCUGCCUCUGCCUCCCGAGUGCUGGGAUUAAAGACAUGCACCACCAAUGCCCAGCUAUCUUCAACUAUUUUUAUUGUGCAUUUUUGUAGUACACUGCGAUAAUUUGGUAGAGACGUGUUAUGAUUAUAUCCAGACAUUUAGUGUUUUUAUCUACUUACACCUACCAUUUCUUCAAUGAAAAACUCCGAGCAUCUCUCUUAUAUAAGAUAAAUUGUUGUUAACCAUGUCCACUCCAGCAAGCCCCAGAACACUGGAACUUACUUCUCCUGGCUAUAUUUCUGCACUGGUUAUCUGGUUUCCUUUUCUUCAUCCUGAUCCUUUUGCUUCCUGGCCUAGAGUGGCCACUGUCCUCCAUUCUGCUUCUACAAAGUCACCCAGGCUUAAUUUCUGCACACAUUUCUUAACAGGAAUCCAAAGCAGAAUUAACAAAAGCCUCGUAUUUACAGAUUUUUGCCAAAUAGAGACGGAACUCUAUUUGGGGGAGUUCCAGGAGCUCUGACUUAAAGGUCUGGAGUUCUAGUCUGAAAAUAAGAGGGUUGCCUAUUUGUCUCAAAUGUACUUGUAGUUAAACAAGUCUACCCCCCAUGGGUAUUUAAAGAUUCAACUAAUUAUUCUAAACGAUUAUCCUAAUUUUUAACAAUAUUUGUUGUAUCAACAUGUUGACAUAUUUUGAAUUUUUAUCUAUUUAUAAGAAUUUAUUUAUUACUAUUAUAAUGUUUCUAUUUUAAAUCAUGCAAAUUGAUAUGUUCAUAAUAAUGUUCCAGGACAUUAAAUGCCAGGGUACAUUAAUUAACAUAGCCCUUGUGCGUGUCAUGUAUAUCCUCAUGUUUUAACCCUUCACUUAUUCAUGCAUUGAUUUAAAUAUUCAUUGAAUGUAAGCUGCCUAUCUAGCACUUACAGGCAUACAUGAAGGGGACCAGAACACACACUUUCUUCCCUUCCUCUUACAAUCUGGUUGGAAAACUAACUCUUAGUAUGAUACCUGGCACUUACGACAACAGUCAAGGUCUCCUUUAAAUACUGCAAUACUCUGUAAGAUUGACUUUAUUAUCCUAUUUUACUGAUAACGAAAAUGAAGUCGAGAGAGGUUCAGUAACCUUAGCCAGGUUUGUAUUACCCAGCUGCUGAGUAAUCAUUCCAGAAAAAAAAAAAAAAAGAAAGAAAGAAAGAAAGAAAGAAAGAAAGAAAAACACACAAGGCAAAUGUCAGUAUGUCUGUCCUUGUAUAGAAGUUCAGACAAAUGCAAAUAAGUAAUAUAGUUCGAAGAGAUGUUUCUCAGAAAGAAAAAAAAAAAACAUUAAUAGCAUUUAACAGGAAAACACCACGCACCCAAAAAGAAUGCAUAUCGGUCAAUAAGAAGUGGGGUUCGGUGUCUAAAAAACGCCAACGGAGGCCCCAGGAAGCCUGGCUCUGGUAAGGUUUGAGGAAGAGGUGCGGAAGCCGUAUUCUCUCCCCGGCCCGUGUUUCACAAUGCCUAGCGUACGCUUGUAGGGAUAAUCAUUUGAACACAUUACUACAUUUAUGAUGAACAGCAGACAUUAUUUGAUGUUUUGACUUUUCAUAAAAUGCUCCAUUGUAACUGCUUGUAAAACAGGUCUAUUUUAUGUCAAUAGCUGUUCUCGUGACUCUCGCUGUUUGACUUCCCAUCUAUUAUUUCACGAACAUUUUCUAUUGUAAACUUCUAAAUGUCAAACGGAAAAUCAGUAGCUGGAGAUUCAACACUUCCGUCUUCGGUUCGCCAGCAAAUCGCGACCACACUGCCACCUAGUGGUCCUUAGCAGCGGCUUCUGCAAGGGACAGAAAUUCUUUUCAAACACUCCAAGCUUACACAUCUCUUAACUGGUUCUGGUUUGGUUACUUGCAAUCCAUAGCUCAUUUUACCGCAGAGAUGAUAUCGUGGGUGACGAUGAAGUUUCUAGUCGGUUCACGAAGUCAAGCCAUGGAACCCACACCUUCCGUGUAUUCGUAUCUAUUGUUGAAGGGGGUGGGGGAUUUUACUUUUGAAUUUCCCUGUUUAAGACAGCAAUCUAUUAUUUUAUUGUCGCCAGUGGUCUUUUGCAGAUGACCAUUAAGAUGCCUUGUUAGGUUUGCAGUCAUCUUCAGGACCAGUGCGGAGAGGCUUUGCUUGAGCUCAUUCAUGAUUGGAGACAUCAUUUCCUUGCCUUGUAUACCAACCCAAGAUCAGCCCUGUGGGGUUCAAGAAAGAUGAUUGCAGACGGCUAAGAGAGUUUGCAAGAUGGAAACCCAUCAUGGCCAUGCCACCCUCUCACCAAGUCCUAUCCUGUCACUCAUCAUAAGUCACUCAUCCCAGUUCAGACUCUCGAGAAACACAAUACACAAGGUGGAGAGCUCACUGGGGUUAACGUAAGACAGAUGAUGUUGGAUGACGGCCCACGGUGCAGUAAGGAGCAGGGGCCUGAAGAAGGCUAUCUGUGUGGAGGAUGUGCAAACAUGCAUACCGUGAGACAGGAGCAUUCUUUCUGGGUGUGACGAAAAGUGAGGAGGCCAGCUUGCCUGGAGUCCAGGGAGCAAGGAGCGGGGUGCAGAGGCUGAAGCUGAGAUACCGGAGAACCCAGUUUCAAAGGAGCAUCUGGGAAUUCUGGCUACCCACAGCAGACUAAACACAUGUGUUUGCUGUUGUGCUUUUGUGCCAUUCCAAAAUGAAAAUGACUGUGUAAGAGACCUAAAUCUUCAAACACAAAGAGAAUGAGAGGGUAGAUAACAGUGGAUGGGAGAUGUCAGCAAGCCUCUGGACUUUGGAAAGCUGAUGGGAGCAUAGUCAUUGAUUUAGCAAAUGAGAGAGGACUGUGAGCAGGCCGAGAGGAAACUGCUUCAGCCCUUCUAAUGCUCAGAAAGAACCCUUAAAGAUGAUGGGUACCCCUGAAAGUACCCAUGGCAGGACUGCAGACUGGAGUAUACACUGGAAGUCUGAGAGAUGGUCUGUUAGACCUGAAGAUCUCCCCCAGGAAACUCUGAAGAGUGAUUUACAGCUGGAAGCAGAGAGCCAGAUGGCACUGGUGAAAGGCAAUACAGAAAAUGAAGCAAUUAAAUAGAGUGUACCAAGUGAAAGAUAAGACUGCCAACCCCCUCCCCCUGCCAGAUUACUCACAGCUGUAUUUUUUUACUUUCUAGAAAGAGACAGAAGUCCAAGGCAGUCAGUGGUUCUCAGUCCAGGAAAAUAUGUCCACACCAAGGAAUAGUUGUUAUUGGUGUCUAACAGAUAAAAAAAGUGAUGAGGCUAAGAAUUCUACAAAUGCUUGGGCCAGUCCCACACAACCGAGAACUGCCUUUCAUAUAAUGCUGGCAGCACCAAGGUGAAGAGUUCCUGUGCUAACCUGCUGGAGUGGCGCUUACCUCCAAUCCCACUGAUUUGGAGGCAGAGGAAGGAGGAUCACACAUUUGCAGCUGCUGGGAGUUGUUGGUGCCAUGUGAAGCUGACCUUGCUUCAUGCCCUCUUCAUACGCUAAAACCUCUCCUUGAGUUUCCUGUCAUCUGCUCAUGCCUUACUCUUUAAAAAGGAACAGUCUCCCUCAACAAAAUAUCUCACCCCAAAAUUUGCUCCCAAACCUGUCCCUCCUUCGAUAAAACCAAUCUCACUGCAUAUUAAAUUGUAUCCAGUCUUGACAUGUAAACACAUUGUGACCUGGCCUAAUAAUACAAGUGAGUCUCAAACAAUCACAGCAUUCAUGCCCCAGCCAAACACAGCUGUUGACUGGUUAAAUUGCAUUCUCAUUAAAACCAACACUGUCUACAGCCAAGGCAGUUUCUGUAUGUCAAUCCCUUCUCUUUGUGCAUGUGGUGAGUGGACAUUCUGAAUAAUCUUUAGUCUGCAAUGCUACCUUCUACCUAAAAGGUUUUUUUUGCCAAAGUAAACCUCAGUCUCAUGGUAUCCCCCCUCCCUUCUUUUAUAUUCUUAAAAUUAAAGUGUUUGACAAAAUAAGUUGGGUUUCAAAAAUAGGACACAGAUCCAGAGUAGAAAUCUCAAAAUCUGGCCAACAUUGCAAAAGAAUAGCUUGGUGCUGAGUUCCAUGUAAAUGGUAUAGAAUCCCCUCACAAUCUCCUUUUCAGGGCAGUAUUGUUUCUGGACACAGGUAGAUAGAACAAGGCAAGAUUCCAUCUCUGAUUGGAAGAAGCUGUAAAAGAUAAGAACUACUUUCUCUCAAUCCUUUCCCCAAUGUUGCUAUACAAUUUCUUUAAUGGAUACUGUUUUCUGCCUUUGAUAAAUGUUUGACAGUGUCAUGCCUUCAUGUUAAGACAAUAUGAAGUCUCAACUUGUAUACUGAAUGUGUCUGACAACGUAUCAAUCAAAAGUGCUAUGUUUAUUUGUAGAAAGAUAUAUUCUCCCCUUCUGUUACAACCCCCAUGAAGAAAACACUAUUUCUCCCAUCUUUGUUAACUAUGUUUCAUCCCCCCAGGUUUGGAGUGUGGGAGAGGCAGCAUGCUCUCUGGGUGUGAUGGAUGUUUCUGGCAAGUUUCUCUUCUCAGUGAGGAUUUACUUGUGCAGUGGUAAAUGAAACCAGUUCUAAUUACCAUGAUUCCUGUGGUACCUAAUGCUCUGGUGGUUCAUCCAAGAGGAUAUGUGACCCAUCCUAUGUUCUGAAAGGAUACAACAAAACUGGCCCAGUACACUCCAUUUUGGCUCUUCUUUCUCAUUUGUCAACAUGGUUGUCCUCUGGCCAUGGAAAGAUCUUACGUAUCCUUUUCUUGACAAACUUUGAGCUCACAGAAGUAUCUUGGUGCAGUCAUCUCUGUUCUGCACAGGACACUCCAGUGUCUGUAGCCUUGACUCAAGCACCCAGCCUUCCUCUCUCUGACCGCCCCCCUUUUUUUACUAAGCUGGGCUGGAAGCCAGUUGUCACUUCUCCCUCCUUAAAGAAAGAACUUGUUGCCCUUGACCCUUAUGUUGGAAGAUGGAGUAAGUUCAAAACUGUGAACUUGGGGGACUGAAGAGAUGGAAUCAGAAGUAAAGAGCACUUGCUGCUCUUGCAGAGAACCUGGAUUUAGUUCUCAGCUUCCACAUCAAGUAGUUCACAACCACCUGUGACUCCAGCUCAUAGGGAUCCAACACCCUCCCCCCUUUGGGCUUUGUGGGCACCUACAUGCAUUUAUACACAUACAUAUAUACAAGCGCACACACAUACAUCCAUAAAAUAAAAGCAAUCAAUAUU